UCCCUGGAGGACUAGUGGUUAGGCAUUGGCGCUCUCACUGCCGCGGCCCAGGUUCAAUUCCCGGCCAGGGAU
rnacentral:tRNA from 1 species